UGAAGAUCAUCACAACUAGAGGCAGAGAAAGAGAAGAAGGAUUUAAAUGUCUUUAUUUGUGAUACUGGUGCUUCUGCUUACAGCAUCAGUAACUGGAGAAGACAUCCCGUCCUUCACCGUCAGAGAGGGAGCUGAAGUCACUUUGCCUUGUGGAAAUGUGAUAAAAAAGUCAGCAGAACUGUGACGGGACUUCUUGGCUUAUCAGCCAGGGAUUUGUGGGAGCUUUAGAGCUGGUUACACGUGGGAAUAUCAGUGAAAAAGCCGUCGAUUUAUCCAACAGGCUGAGAGUCGCAGCGAACUGUUCUCUGGUAAUAACGGAGGUCAAUAUGUUGUAUGUUGGUCGUUACGCCUGCAGGCAGUUCAAAUCAGGAGAACAACACGGUCAGGAUGCUCAUGUGGAUCUGUCUGUUUUGGAAAUUGAGGAAUUAUUGUCCAAAGAUGAGUCCAACUUCUCCUGCUCUGUGGACACAUAUGACAACGGGUGUUGGCACACAGUACAGUGGUUGUAUAAAGGAAGCAUGGAUGACAUGGUGACAUCACAGGCUACAUGUUCAGCCACUGUGACAUUUACGACUCCUCCUCUUGAUCAGGCGUUAAACUUCGACGAGUUGCUGAUCUGCAACGUGACAGACAGUAAGAGUGGACAAACACUGUUGAGUCAUGUCGGCAGCCAAUCCUCACGUGAGGAGACAGGUAUACUUUAUUAAAUCACAUUUAU